UACGUAGGGGCGAGCGUUGUCCGGAUUUACUGGGCGUAAAGGGUGAGUAGGCGGUUAUAUAUGUCAGGUGUAAAAAGCUAUGGCUUAACCAUAGUAAGCACUUGAAACUGUAUGACUUGAGUGCAGGAGAGGUAAGCGGAAUUCCUAGUGUAGCGGUGAAAUGCGUAGAUAUUAGGAGGAACACCGGUGGCGAAGGCGACUUACUGGACUGUAACUGACGCUGAGUCACGAAAGCGUGGGUAGCAAACAGGAUUAGAUACCCUGGUAGUCCCU
rnacentral:rRNA from 1 species